rnacentral:tRNA from 10 species
CGCUACGGACUUAAAAAAUCCGUCGACUUUUAAAAUCGUGAGGGUUCAAGUCCCUCUAUCCCCA